CUUCCCCUUUCCUAUUGUCAUUUGGUUCUUUCACUCUUAAGAGGGAUUGUUGUUUGGGUUUGAUAUCUUACCUGCGUUUCCUUUUCUUCUUCAUCAUCAUCUUCAUCUUCUUCUUCUUCUUUUUAAGGGCAAAAGCAUGUUUUCAACCCACACAUCAUCACCUAUAGAUUUUGAAGGUAACUAACUGGGUUGAAAUCCCAUUUGCAUCAGUUUUAUUCGAUCUUUAGAGGUUCUGAAAGUAUGAGCUUUUGUUAUUCUUUUUGGUCAAGUUGGUUUUUUUUCUUUUUUCUUUUUCAAAAAUAGGGGAUUUGGCUUUUGUUUUGUAUUGUUCUGUGGAAUGAGUUCAUCUGGGUAGAUUCCUUUCAGUACUAAACAUACUUUAACCCCAGUGACUAGCCACAUCAGCUACACCUCAACCUUGCUGCUAAAAUUUGCACAUAAAAUCUCUAUUUUGUUCUACCCUUUUUUUUUUUUUUACUCUCUCCUUAAUUACUGUCUCUAUGUUUCAUGAUGUUCCCUUUUUUUAGUUUCAGUUUGGACAAUUUUCCGUGAGAUUAAUCUUUUCUGUGUGUAACUUGUGGCUUUUUUUAGCUGUGAUAUAAACUUUUUCAUGAGAUUGGCAAUAUAAACUUUCUUUCAGGAGCUAUAGUUGCAUGGACACAGAUUCACAGUCGUUAUUUGCGGAUGUAGCAUCAUCAAGAUUCACAUGCAAAUGCAGGUGGGGUUCGACUCUGAUGCAAUCUAAGCAUUCUGCCAAGCCAUAGGUCUUUUGAAGUGAGAAUCUUGAUGAUGCUGCAUCAGCCAUAAACGACUUUAAAAAAAGGUUGGAUAUGUACUAUUUUGGGAUAAACCACAUAUAUCCUUUAUCAGAUACAAUUUUGUUCGAGUGGAUCCAGAAUUAAGUUAAUUCUUUCCAAAAAUGAUAUUGAAGAAGAUCAAAUACAUGCUCUCAUUCUUACUUGUUCAGUUCAUAUGCACCGACUGAGUUACUCGUUAGUUGGAUAAAUACUAUUCUACCCCCCCUCAAAAAAAAAAGUGAGCAAAAACAAAAACUGUUGUUGAGAUUGCACACACCCCAAACCUUCAGAUACUGUCCAUGAUCUGCAUAUUUAAACAAGAGCAGGUGACCCCUUUGGGCCUUUCCACUUUGCUUUUUGUUGUUGUCAGGUGUGUGAAUUUUUUAUUGGCACAUUAAUGGAUAGAGACAAUCCUAGGUUAUCUCAAAUAUAGGCUAUUUGGAGGCUGAGAGGAACGGUUGUUAGGUCCUUUAUGUGCUGACUUCAAAAAUUCUAUGAAUAUUCCCUUUUCAACAGAAAUGCUGGGAUGGAAAUGGUGUCCUUUCAGUUUCUAAAUAUAGAUGGAGAUAUGACUUUAUCCAAAUCUAGUGAGAGUGUUAUAGAGACAAGCACAGAGAGAGGAAAUUAGUAUUUGGAUCUUAGGGUACUGAGCAGUGUUGAGUUCAUGCUGCCAUUAUUUUGGUAACUAUUAUUUUUUAUGAGUAUUAUUUAGACUUUCAUUACAUAAGUUUCAUAUCUAUAAUAUUGCUAUAGCAAAGUUAAAUAAUUUUUUACUUGAUGAUUUACUGAUCUCUAAGAAACUUCAUCAGAGCCUAUAGUUUGGUCCCUUUAGUUAAAGAGUAAGUGAAAACAAGAGUGGAAGGAUAAGUUGAUUGUCACCUUGUGAUUCUGAUUCUACUAGCUAAACAUUUUUCAGGGAGUUUUGGUUCCCGUUCCCACAAGCUUUGUCCUUGUUACUACAUAUUAAUAUUAUAUAAACAGGAAUUAAAUAUGUUUAAUAUAGAGGAUAAUAUAAGCAGAUUAUUGAAAAUUGAAGCAGGCUUGGGAACUUGGAUGUACAAAACUAGGACAUAAUAAUGGACAUUAAUGUCCUGGUUCUAUGGUCGAGGAUUUGGCUUUAGCAUAUACAGUAAUAAUCAUCAGUUACUCUGGGUUUUGGACCAACAAACGUCUUGCAAGUUGGACCCUUAAUUGAAGGAGAUCAUUUAAGAGAAUAAUAGUCUCUUCUAAUUUGGGGAGUCGACCUCUACCUUUAGCUUAAUUCUGAUUCACAUAGAUCUUUCGUAAGUACUUAUUACAUAUUGGAAUAUACACUUCUUCCUCGCUUGUGCAAUUAUUCAACAGCCAUUUCAUUGCAUCUCUAUAAGCUGCAUUAACUAAUUUAUGUCUUCAUUUACAUUCGAUAAAUAUAGUCCAUGCUCUAUCUAUUUAAUUACUCUACUUAAUAACUGAUUGAGACUGUGUGAUUGCCGUAAUGAAAACAAGAACAAUAAUAAUAAUAAUAGAAAAGAAUAGGAUUCAAGCAAUAGCUUAAAAAAAAAUUAAUAUCAUACACAUGUCAUGGCGCAUUCAUUUUAAUUUGUUCUGGCCAAUAGAACUAUUUUUUGAAGGAUAUAUUUUCUCUUUCCUUUUUUUUCAUGAAUUUUCUUAACUUCAAU